rnacentral:tRNA from 3 species
GCCAUUAUAGGUUAAUUGGUAAACUAUCUCUCUUCCAAAGAGAUGUUAUCCGUUCAAUUCGGAUUAGUGGCA